rnacentral:siRNA from 1 species
UAGAACAUUUAUGGCGGACCGAUC